rnacentral:rRNA from 1 species
GGCGAACGCUGGCGGCGUGCUUAACACAUGCAAGUCGAACGGAAAGGCCCUGCUUUUGUGGGGUGCUCGAGUGGCGAACGGGUGAGUAACACGUGAGUAACCUGCCCUUGACUUUGGGAUAACUUCAGGAAACUGGGGCUAAUACCGGAUAGGAGCUCCUGCUGCAUGGUGGGGGUUGGAAAGUUUCGGCGGUUGGGGAUGGACUCGCGGCUUAUCAGCUUGUUGGUGGGGUAGUGGCUUACCAAGGCUUUGACGGGUAGCCGGCCUGAGAGGGUGACCGGCCACAUUGGGACUGAGAUACGGCCCAGACUCCUACGGGAGGCAGCAGUGGGGAAUAUUGCACAUUGGGCGGAAGCCUGAUGCAGCAACGCCGCGUGCGGGAUGACGGCCUUCGGGUUGUAAACCGCUUUCGCCUGUGACGAAGCGUGAGUGACGGUAAUGGGUAAAGAAGCACCGGCUAACUACGUG